GGAGAGACGGUGGCAGGCAGACCCAUCCCGUCCCGUCCCCAACCCCCCUCUAUUUCACCGUCGCCCACGCUCCUUUUCCCUUUCCGCAUCCGCAGCAACGAAAGCGAGCGCAAACCAAACCCACCCCACAACGCAACGCCCUCGUCCCGCCCCCCUCCUCCGACGAUUCGAGGCCCCGGGCUCCCGCGCGGCGGCGGCGGAGGAAGCAUGAGGACGGCGGCUGCGGCGGCGGAGGCGCACCAGUCGCGCCUGCUCUACGAGCUGGGCGCGCUGCUGCUCACCAUCCUCCGGUCGCCGCUCGGGCCGGGGGAGGAGCCGCGGCAGGUGACGGCGGCCGGGGUGGCGUCCAUGAUGCUGGGCGCCUCCAUGGCGCUCAUGCUCUGCGGCUCCGUCACCUUCAUGCUCGGCUUCUUCCUCAUGCCCUGGGUCGUCGGCCUCGCCUGCGUCUUCCUCUUCGUCGGCUUCCUCACCAACCUCUCCGGGAUCUGGAGGGCCAUCCUCUGCUGGCCCGCCGCAUGCUCCUCCUCCUCGCCCCAUAAGGACGCCUCCACAUGGCAUAUAUUCCCCAAGCCUCCAUUCAUGUAGACGUGAAGUCGAAUGCGGAGCAGCGAUGUACAGAAGAAGCACACGAGUUUGGGCAGCAGUAUUUUCCUUCCUGGGCAACUUUUACCAUGUAACAAAUGCAACAAGUCUAAAUGGUUGUAUACUUAUAACUAGGAGGAUACAUCUUGACAGCAAACUUUGUACAUAUGGGAAGAAUGCUCUGGUGUAAUUGUUACGCGAGGCUUAUGAUUGUUUGAGAAAUGGAAGAGCCUCUGUUUCUUCCCAGAAUGACAGGAAAUUCCGUGUUUCCGGAUAAGUUUGUAUCUGUUUGUGAGGAAUGGCCGCAAAUUGGAUAGUUUCUUUCGACGGUGGAAUGCUUGUAAUGCCAUGUAAACUUGAAACUUGUACGAUGUUGACCAUAAAUGAACUUUUCAUUUUCAAGAAUGAGAAGGGUGACC
rnacentral:rRNA from 1 species